GCACUGCGAUUCUCGAACAGAAGAAGGCAGUAAAUCUCCUUGUCGUCGAUGAAGCCAUCAACGAUGACAACUCCGUCGUCACUGUCCACCCUGAGACCAUGGAGAAGCUCUAGCUAGCUCUUUAGGGGCGACACAAUCCUCAUCAAGGAUGUCUCAAAGAGUGUGACAAAACUUGCCGUGAGAGAAUCCCGAGCUCAGGAUUUGAGGAAUGAAAUUCUCACCUCUAAAAAGUGACAAGGUUCUGAGCAAGAAGCCCCCUACUCCUCACCUGCGAGUUGUGGCUGAUUAUCUGUUGGAUGCAACAACUAAAGAAGCCAACAAGAGAGUUAAGCUUGCGAGAGCUGCAAUGGGUAACAACAACCCUGGUUGCCGUGGAUUCAAGAAAGAUAAGGACCGCCUUAAGUCUCUCAGUGCUCAGGGACCCAAGAAAGGAAGAUGGGAAAGAAAAGAUGGCAGUGACAACCAUAAGCAAAAAAG